UUUAAUAUGAAUAGGGGGAAAAAAAAGGAUUGACGCGAGAUAACCUGGUGGUUCAAUUAUCGUUGAGUGCCGAAAUUACAUUUGAAUUGCGAUUAAUGGGCACCCGGUACAUGCGACGCAUUUUGGGGGAGAAGGAAGUUUCAGUUCGGAGGGUUCUCUCGCAAAUCCUGGGGUGGUAUUUAGGGGUUGGUUUCUAUGCCUGGCGAGAUGAACAAAGAAAAUUCGGAAGAGGGCGAUAAAUCAGCUACUCGAAUUCAAGGUCUAGCAAGUUCAAGGGCCAAUGACCUUGGAAGGCAUCGCAUCUGUACAUUUUAUAAAAGGGGACGAUUUGCAAUUUUAGAAAGAGAAUUACAUUUUAUAAUACAGAAUUUGAAAAUCGAAAAAAAAAUCUAAUAAACUUAAUUUUCCAAUUUCGGAAAAAUAAUUUUCAAAUGGAGCCAAUUUUUUUUUUUUAUUAUAGUGAUGGAAUGAGUUUUUAUUUAUUCAAUUAUUGAAAUAGGAGAAAAAUUGAAAAAAAUAAAGAGGAGAAAAAAAACAAAUAAAAUUGCCUUUGGCUUUUGAUUAAAAAAAAAGAAAAAAAAAAAAGAAAAGAACACACCGGAACCUCUUUCAUCUGGCGUGAAAAAUGAGUCACUUUAAAUUCCACCCUUCGACUUCGCUGUAAUAAAAACGAUUUUAAGUUGCAGUCAAGUCUCUGAUAAGGAUUUAAUAAACAGUGAAUGUAGUGAAUUAAAUUUCUUUAGUUUACAGAUAGUAAACAAGUAAAAAGUCAAUUUGAUUUUUAAAGAAAAUUUUUUUUCUGAUUUUCUUAUUUUACUUAUGUGAAAAUAAUAAAUUUUUUUUAUACAAAAUAAAAAUUAUUUUACAAAUAAUUUGUAGAAUAUCUUUUAUAAACGCAGGAAUUAGGUUUUUUAUUUUUAUUUAUCUCUUAUUGAUUUAAAAAAAAGGCGCUCUUAUUAGAAUAAUUUAAAAAAAAAGCAUUUAAAGAGCGCCUUUUUCCACCAAUGAGAAAAUUGUUGUAGCGCAAGCGCAGUAGUUAUAUUCGUUAACGGUUGUUGGUAGCUUUGAAUUUGUAUUGCAAAUGUACAUCGUGAUAUUGAAUCAAUUUGUAAAUAAUAACAAACAAAACAAAAAAAGUAAAAAGGAAGUAAGGAGACAAGAAAUUCAGAAAAUAUAAUCAAGAUUAGAAUUAGCCUGAUUAAUCAUAUAUAUAGGCAGAAUAAAAGAAAAUGAAUGUAUACAUUGUGGCAGCAUCGAAAUAUUUAAUAAUUGUAAUUAUAUAAAGAAAAUCUCAUCUUAUCAAGGAGUGAGAUGGCGUUGGUAGACAUUUUCGAAAAGUAUCUUCUCGCGUUGAGUUUGACCACGUGUUUUUAAAAUAAUUUAAUUUCUAAAUUUUUAUCAUGCGGACAAAUUUGAAAAUCACCGUUCGAGUGCAGCUUCGGAAUAGAGAUCGUGUAUAUAGGCGAAGGAUUUUUCAAGAGGCUUACGAGUGAAACAGAACACCCAGUACACAAACGAGUUUCCGGUGUUCCGGACGAGUAGCAAAAUCAAUAAUGCCAACGAUCAUUAAAGUCAUUUACGUCCCAGUAAUGGUAAGCUAACGAAUGGACGAAUAAACACCGACUCCGUUGCUUUUUCACACUCGAUUGGAUAAAUGCUACAGCGCGUGUUUCUUUGCCAAUAGUAAACGCCUUUGACCCGCAGGAAGACAGCACUUGUUCAAAUAUCUGGCCACCGUUUUUGCUUGGAGCGAAAGAUUAUUUUUACGAUGCUCCCCUUUUUUUUAUUAUACAUUAUGGAAACACACACAGGAAGAAGCGCAACAAAAAAAUAACUGAUAAACUAGAGGAUUGCAUGACGAUGAAAUGUACUUGCGGAAGUGAUAUUGGCAAAGAGAGUGCUUGUACCGCAAUGAAAAUUGAUCCGCCUUAUCGAUCGGGAUCUUCAAGAGUGCGAUUUGAACGCGCCUUAACCUCGGGAAAAAGGAUCGUGUAGGUGCGCGCGGACUUUGCGUUCUCAUGGGUCCGAGAAUGCAAAAGGUUGAAAAAGGAAUCUCCAUGGGUUCGCAGGGCAACCACCAAGUAGCCAUGAAGAAGAAGAAGAAGAAGAAGAAGAAGAAGAAAACGCCGAUCAAGAGAGAAGGCGUAUAAGUGUAUAGGGUCUGCGAUUCUCAAGGCCAGGAACGUUAUCCAAGAUUCUUGUUCCUCGAUUUUACCUUUCUAAUUUUUUUUUAAUGUUAUUAAA